AAUCUAAAAUAAGAAAGGUGGGAGAAUUUAGGACGGGCCUGCAAACACAUCAACAGUGGAAACCGCAGUGGCAGAAACAGUCCUAAUGGCCAAGAAUCCCGUGCUUGUAUGAAUUCCUGGUUCCUUUUGGAAAGCUUGUUGCUGAAAAUACCAGGCUUAUAGUCUACAGUACUUUGUAUUCUGUUCUGCUUCAGAGAUUCCAGCUUCUGUAGUAAAAGUAUAAAGGUCUCAUGAAAAGCUGUAUUAACUGUGGCAUAGAUGACCUGCAAGAGAAUCUGGGAAAGAAGUGAGCACACACAGCAUGCUGGGAAAAUCUGGAGCUCACGUAUUAUCUGUUUCCAAAUGACAUAUUCCGGAUUAUGAUGAUUCCUGGUAAGCAAACUUUUACUUUGUAUAUUUUUAACUCUAAUCAAGAAAGUCCAGGCUAGGCCAGCUCUAUGUUAAUUUCUCUAUUAAAAUCCAGAUGGGAGUGUGUUUUCCCCUGUGAUGGCUGGUCUGCCUUUGUUGGAGCUAUGGAAAAU
rnacentral:lncRNA from 1 species